UAGGGAAUCUUCCACAAUGGGCGCAAGCCUGAUGGAGCAACGCCGCGUGAGUGAAGAAGGUUUUCGGAUCGUAAAGCUCUGUUGUAAGAGAAGAACGUGUGUGAGAGUGGAAAGUUCACACAGUGACGGUAACUUACCAGAAAGGGACGGCUAACUACGUGCCAG
rnacentral:rRNA from 1 species